rnacentral:lncRNA from 1 species
GAUACGGCUGAGGGCGUACUGAACCCUCCACAACUCCCUCUUGCAGCGAAGCCCGUACUCCCCAACCAGCUUCAACUCGGCGUCCAAACGUUCCUUUUCGUAUGGACGACGAGGCUUCUUGAAGGUUUUCCCAUCUAUUCAAUUCCAAACAAUCAAAUAACAUAUUCAAUUGUGUUCGAAAUGAUGCCUCAUUCUCAGAUCACAAAUAUCAGAAUGAGAUUAAAUACAAAGAAAUUUCGUACAAACGAAUGCACAGAAUAUAGAUAGGUAGAUGCAUUGAGUGCAAUGUAAAAUACUCACAGUUGCGGUAGAAGGAAACGUGCACCAUGGCUCUUCUCUUGCUGCUUCUCAACCCUUACGGUGCACCAGGUUUUCGCUGCUAGGGUUCAAAAACAGAUUCCUUUUUAUUUGAUCUCAAAACCCUAGUUCUGAGAAGGCCAGACUUUCAUUACAAGGCCCAUUCCACGACCCAUCGUUCGCAAAGGCCCG